rnacentral:lncRNA from 1 species
GGCUGGGAAAAGUUCUGGCGGGGCUCCACGGAUGCCCAGGGCGGUACCCAAGUAUCCCCAGAAUGUUUCAGACCUGCACAGACAGUGUGAAGGGGCCUCUCUUUGAAAGCCGUCCCGGCUGGGAUUUCCAGAAAACCAGAGGAGGAAAAUGAGGCUUCAUUUCUGAGGAAGAAAAACAUGAGGUUGGUAUAAGUUAAGCACUUUUACACAGUGUGAAGUUUCAGAAAUUUUCUUGCUUAAAAUUGUUUCCCUCAUAUCCUGAUUUUCUAUUGUUGUUUUAUUUUACCUUUUAUGGCAGGAAAGAGUUCCCAGAGAGAGAAGACAAAGGCAGUCGUUGUUGCAGCAGAAGCCCAAGGCUGAAGAUUGAAGAACUGAAUAUGUAACUUUGUAAGGGACCUGGAGACAAGGAAAAUCUUGUCAGGAAACUGGAGAAGCGGCAGCUGGAGCGGCUGUUCCGGGCCAAAGAGGGGUGACACAAGAUGGCCACCAAGUGCGUCUGGACCGCAGCUUGACCCUGAAGCCUAAACCUCAGCCUGGAUCUCAGCCUGGCCCUGUAGCCUUAACCUCAGCCUGGAUCUCAGCCUGGCCCUGCAGCCUGAACCUUAGCCUGGAUCUCAGCCUGGCCCUACAGCCUGUACCUCAGCCUGGAUCUCAGCCUGGCCCUGAAGCCUUGUUCAGUGGUGUGGGUGAAAGUGUAGGCUGCACUGCCUGCCCUCUUCUGCCUCCUCCUCCUCCUCCUCUGGGUUGGCUGGCCUGAUUUCUGGCCUGCUCCAGAAGAGGGCAGGAGCAGGGAGGUGAAAGGGAGGAAGACAUCACAAGGAGACUGGCUUCAGUGCUGGAGUGGAGGUGGCCAUCUGGUUUUGCUUGAAAGUGAGAGGCCAAACCCUGUGGCACCCUGUCUUUUGAGGUGGCCUCCAAUUCAAGUCCUAUCCAGUCUCCACUGCCCUCUGCUUCUGGGGAUGGAGGAAAUGCAGCUUUGGUUAUGGGGACGUGGCCAGAGAGGUGCAAAUCCCCACAUUGAGGAACCCACAGACUGAAAGUCCUAGGGCCAGCAUCCACUGAAAACCGUGAAGUUGCCUUCAGGAGACAUGCUAAUGUGCAGUACUCAGACCUCAGCCCCAGAGCAGACAGAGCCCCAGGUGUCUCCAAUCCAUAUGCCUUACUUCUCAUACUUAUUUUCUUAUGGUGAGAAUACUAAAAAUCUACUCUCUCAGUGAUUUUCGAGAAUAUAAAAAUUUUUUAUUAACUAUAUCAUAUUAAACAGUAGAUCCUGAAUUUGCUCUUCCUAACUUCAGUACCCCUUGGUCAACAUAUCUGUGACCUCACCCUGGCCCCUGUUAAACACGAU